rnacentral:rRNA from 1 species
GUCGAGAAUCUUCCGCAAUGCGCGAAAGCGUGACGGAGCGACACCGCGUGAUGGAUGAAGUCCUUCGGGGCGUAAACAUCUUUUAUAAAGGAGGAAAUUUUUGACGUUACUUUAUGAAUAAGGGGCUCCCAAUCUCGUGCCAGCAGGAGCGGUAAUACGAGAGCCUCAAGCGUUAUCCGGAAUCAUUGGGCGUAAAGGGUGCGUAGGGGGUUUGAUUAGUCUGCGGUAAAAACUUCGGGCUUAACUCGAAAAGAACGGGGGAAACAGUCAAACUAGAGUAUGUGAGAGGUGUGUGGAACUCAUGGUGUAGAGGUGAAAUCCGUUGAUAUCAUGAGGAACACCAAAAGCGAAGGCAGCACACUGGCACGUCACUGACACUGAGGCACGAAACCGAAGGUAGCGAAUGGGAUUAGAUACCCGAGUAGUCC